GAGGACGGGGUGGGGCCGGGCAGGGCCUGAGGCCGGGCCGACUGGUGUAGGACCCCGGGCUGGGCUGGGAGAGCCCACAAAGGGCGUGGAGAUUGCCUGAGAGACAGCCCGGCUCUGACUGCUCGCCCUGCGGUGUAGCCUUGAGGAAGUUCCUCGGGGAUGUUGUGUUGCUUCGGUUUCCUCUUCGGAAAGAGAGAGAAUACUUGGGUCAAGUUUCUUCCCGAGCUCAGGCGCUCCGUCAGCACAAAGGGUGGUGUUACUACUCUGUUUUACGGGUGGAGAAACUGAGGCUCAGAGUGCUGAAGAACCCUGCCAAGGCCACUCUGAAGGCGAUGAAAAGGUCGAGGGGACACACGACAAGCUGCCCACGACAGAAGAUGGCAGGCUGCAGAGAGGCCACUGCGUUCAGCUUCCUCUCAGAGUCAGGGGAAAUGAGGAUCACCAGGCUGGCUCUGAGUGCUACAUGCAAACUGGGAAACCCACCAUCUGAGGAGGAGAGUGACGGGAAGAGAAAGGAACUCCAAACUUAGCAAAGGUAAACCCUAAAUUGGGCUCUUGGACAGAACUUGCUUUGAAGAGCUUCAGGUCACCAUCUUGGAUGUAAUGCCAGGAGCUGCAGCAGCCACAUUACGAGUAUAAUGUUGGACAAGCAUAAAGACAGAAAACCAAAGUGACAUAACAGGAAGGAAGAACAGAAAGACCUGGUCCUUGAUGACACAUAUGACUGACUGACUUGACACCACCAACAGCUUUCCUCUAACUUAUGUGGAGUCGGUUUCUGGGCCAUGGGCCCUGCAGGGCCUGGCUGAGGCCUCAGGUGCUGAUGAUGCCGUUGGAAGGAGGAGAGUCAAGGUCAGCCUAUCUGCUUUCCUCCUGAAAGUCUGCAGCAUCGAGGGAGGGGAACCAGCCCCAGGGCUGUCCUGCCCACUUCCAGCUGACACCUUAAGGAUCACAUUCUCCAGGUCAAAAUUAGGACAUGACUCUGUCAAAGGAUUUUUUCCUCUGGCUGAGGGUACUUAAUGGAAAGUUCUAAUCAAGAAAUAAAGAUCAAAUCUG